AAUGGGAAAUAGUGAAGUCUAUCGUCGACGAUAGAGCGGAUGGCCUCAAACGUGCCAAAAAGCUCUGUCGAGGAAGAAGUUUCAUAAAAUCAGACGCAGGAACGAGAUUAAAAUUUUAUGAACACCCAUUGACAGGCAAACAACUUGUUGUAGACGACACAAGGCAUUGUCUACGUUUCUCGAUCAGGAGGAAUGUCAAACGAGUUGAACAACAUUAUUCCAAAAGCCUCGAAUGGAGCUCAGGAAGGAGUCGCAAUCGACUGAAAUGAUUAUCCAGGGAUGAAUUUCAUGCUGUAUGGGAACCUGUGCUAGUAUGUUCAAGUCCGAUGUUUAAUUUAAACACGCUGGAUCGUUCACGAAGAGCAAUGUGGAAACUGCCAUUUUCUAAAAACACCACUGUCGAAGAAGCCGGCGGUUAUGUACCUGAAAGUUCCAAUAAUCUGAGAGACAUUAUUUACAGCGUUUAUCAGGAACUCGUCAAGGUCGGCACUAUCGUUUCUGAACCGGAAGUUAAUCCUCCAACCGGACCACUGGAUUACAGCUAGGCUAGGGUAAGAUUGAUUGUUGUAUUAUUGUACAGGCCUCAGAUUCACUAAACUAUUGACAACCUUACACACUUUUUUUAAGGAGUUAGACUAUUUUAAUAAGUACUUUUUUGAAAAAUUUCAUACAAAAUAAUGAAAUACAAAAUGGUAAUCAAAUGGUUAAAUUU